rnacentral:lncRNA from 1 species
UUGUUUUCACACGGAUCCACCUUUCCCCUUCCUUCCCUCUCUUCUCUCUCAUCUCUCCCACAACUCACAUCUCACCAGAUCUCAUCCGCCCCCAACUCCAUGCUUUCUCUCUCCCAGGCGAUUUCCGGAUCUAGGGUUUCAAUAACCCUGAAUCGUUCAUUUUCUCUCAAUCCGACAGAAGAUCCAUUGGGGUUGACCUCAGCUAAAUGAAGUAUAUGACUGUAGCAAGCCCCAUUUAAACUUUUGCUUCAGAUUGUGACUUUGGGUUCAAAGUUGAUUUUGUUGGUUGCCCCUUUCUUUAUGCUUAGGAAUCUUGAACCCUAACAACGAGUAUGCAUCCCUGAAUCCCAAAGAAGGUAGCUUUCACGGAUGGAAAUUGUAUGGUUUUGUGAAGCUCUGAUUUUUGCAGAUUCAACAGUUAAGUCACAGAUACGGGCGUGAGUUGUGAGGGGACGGGAGUUGUGAGAGGACGGGAUGACGGUAGUAGGCAUCACUCAGGAGCACAAUUCUGAAAGCAGAUGUCUAUUGUCAUGUUAAAGAGGCCAAGCAAAAUCUAUCAAGUUACUUCUGCACAUAAAGCGCAAUGAGGGAGACGCCAAGGUACAGUCAUUGGUUUUAAGUGAACAUGGCCUUUUGUUUCCAAGGCAAAUCAUUCGAACCAGCAGCCGUGAGCAAUAGCGUCACCACCUUCAAUAAACGAUAUUCUUUUGGAAUAACGGUUGUGAUUCCAUCAUAGCAACCCAGCACCCGAUAAAUGAUAUCAGUUUGUGUUGCUGAUGUAACCUUUGUCCUCUCUCCUGCUGAACCCAGAGAUUAUCACAAACCUAGGCAGUUCAAAAGUUGGAAAUGGUGAUCAACCGGUGUUAAUUGAUUAUGAACGUCUCAAAGUAUAGAUACGAUGUUGUGGUUAUGUUUUAUGUUUCUGAAAUGGAGGGUGAAAGAUUAGGUUUAAAAAACUUAUCGAGUUUCCAUUGGCAAUCUCAUGUACUUAAUUUUCCUAUUAAUGAAAUUUGGUUUUUGCUG